rnacentral:lncRNA from 1 species
AAAUGUAUUUUUUUUUUCAUUUAAAAGAGCAGCAGAUGAAUGCCAGAUUUUUGAUUCUACUGUGAAAUCUUUUUACUUAAAGUCAAAUUAAUUUUUCAGGAAAAAAACAACAGAUUGAAGUUUUGUAUUAUAGAAAAUGCAACAACUUGAGAAAGGAUAUUUGGAACUUGAUUUUUAAUGCAUUGAGAUUUUGAAUUGAUCAAAAUUGGUUUUUUAGCAUCCAUUCGAUGUUUUGCUUUUAUUUCAGAUGAUUCAUAAUAUGCUUACACUGUAACUAUGGAAAGCUAUUGUUCUACAAUGUUAGAUUGUCAAUUUAGAAUUCAACUGUUAAAAUUAUUGGAAACUGCUAAGUUUGAGAGAGAAAAAUUAGAAAGAAAUAUCAGAUUAACUGAGCAAGAAGGUAAGUUCUUAAUUACAAUUUUUUGUUGGCUACCAUCAUGAGAGCUGAACUAAGAACACUAAAGAAGUGUUGAUACUUGUAAUCAGUGAGUUGUAUUAAAAGAGAAAGACCAAGUUUAGGUUUGAAAUAUUUUAUCCAGCCAGAAGUCAGUAGAGUAAUAUAUGAAAAGAUCCAAAUAAAAAAGUAUAUAUUAAAUGUAAAUUUAAUGCAGUUUAUUUGGAGAAUACUAUUUGAAAUUCAUUUAUUAAUAUAUGUGAUUUAAUUUAUCUGCAUUUUAUGUUUAUACAUUUAUUUAAAAAAAAAAACAUUUUAAUUUGUUUGUGUACAAACUUGGCCAAUAAUAAAGAUUGCAUCACAUAACUAGUAACUAGGCAAUGUGAAACACCGUAGACAUAAACAAAAAAUUAACACUUCAGUCAAAGUUCUAGAAUAUUAGUGCAAUUGUUUUUUUUAGCUUUUAUAAAGAAAUUAGCCUUGAUUGAUGGGUUGGUUUACACAAAUGGUAAAAACAUGUUAGUCGAAGCUGGUUACUGUGACAAUACAGAGAUCAUACAUACUGAUGUGCAGAAAGUUAAUUUCAUCUAUAAUCACCAACCCUCGGAAUUAUGGGUCGGCAUUUGGCAAUGUCGAUCUAAAAGUGUUUGAGACUGGCAAAAAAUUGCCAACACUGUUUCUAUGUUUUAUGGUAACCUUUUUGUGUCAAAUUCGCUGACCUCUAACAGUUUGAGCAAUUUUUUGCUAGGCAAUUUAUUACUGACCUUAUUUUUCCUAAUUUCGAGGGUUGACUUACUAAUUAAAUAGCGAAUCUUUAACAGCAUAUUAUCUUGUAUUCAUUUAACUUUUUUUACUUUUAGAAUUCUGAAUAAAAAUUCAUUCAAUGAAUAAACUUGGUUAUUUUGAUCUUGUAUAAAUUCACUAUAUACUACUUACGUCAUUGAGAAGGUGCAAUAUGACUCAAGCAGCAUUCUUUUAGUGAUAAGGUGUACGAAGAUGCGGUCAACACGGUGGCGGGUACAAAGGGGGUAACUACCCCCUCCUGAAUGAAUUUCUCAUGAAUUAGUUUCUUAUUUAGAAAACAAAAGUGU